rnacentral:rRNA from 1 species
AGAUUGAACGCUGGCGGCAUGCCUUACACAUGCAAGUCGAACGGUAGAGUAGCAAUACUUGAGAGUGGCGAACGGGUGAGUAAUAUAUCGGAACGUGCCCAGUCGUGGGGGAUAACGUAGAGAAAUUUACGCUAAUACCGCAUACGAUCUAAGGAUGAAAGCGGGGGACCGUAAGGCCUCGCGCGAUUGGAGCGGCUGAUAUCAGAUUAGGUUGUUGGUGAGGUAAAAGCUCACCAAGCCGACGAUCUGUAGCUGGUUUGAGAGAACGACCAGCCACACUGGGACUGAGACACGGCCCAGACUCCUACGGGAGGCAGCAGUGGGGAAUUUGGACAAUGGGCGAAAGCCUAGAUCCAGCAAUGGCCGACGUCGCAGGAAGAAGGCCGUUCGGGUUAGUAAACUGCUUUUAGUACGGAAACGAACGGUCUGUCUUUAAUACAAGUGGUACUAAGUAGAACGGUACCGUAAGGAAUAAGCUAACCGGCUAACUACGUCGACCAGACACG